UACGAAGGGGCUAGGCGUUGCUCGGAAUCACUGGGCGUAAAGGGUGCGUAGGCGGGUCUUUAAGUCAGGGGUGAAAUCCGUGGAGCUCAACUCCAGAACUGCCUUUGAUACUGAAGAUCUUGAGUUCGGGAGAGGUGAGUGGAACUGCGAGUGUAGAGGUGAAAUUCGUAGAUAUUCGCAGGAACACCAGUGGCGAAGGCGGUUGCCUGGAGCUUUGCUGACGCUGAUGCGCGAAAGCGUGGGGAGCGAUCCGG
rnacentral:rRNA from 1 species